CAGUAGCCGCGGUAAAACGGAGGAUCCAAGCGUUAUCCGGAUUUAUUGGGUUUAAAGGGUGCGUAGGUGGCCUGUUAAGUCAGGGGUGAAAGACGGUAGCUUAACUAUCGCAGUGCCUUUGAUACUGACGGGCUUGAAUACACUAGAGGUAGGCGGAAUGUGACAAGUAGCGGUGAAUGCAUAGAUAUGUCACAGAACACCAAUUGCGAAGGCAGCUUACUAUGGUGUCAUUGACACUGAGGCACGAAAGCGUGGGGAUCAAACAGGAUUAGAUACCCGAGUAGUCCCUGUCUCUUAUACA
rnacentral:rRNA from 1 species